GUACUGUUCCCAUCAGUCACACAUACACCAUUGGAACAAUACAAAGAUUAGCACAGGCCUGGGGCAAGAAUGGCACACAGUGUGUGAAGAGUUCCAUAAUUUU
ensembl:snRNA predicted gene, 27944